ACACACACACACACACACACACACACGUCUGCUUAAAUGGAUUUAACUAGAUAGACGUAGCCAGAUAAUGCAGUAACGUCACCUGAGGACACAGUUUGGGUCGAGAUUAUUUUCACUGAACAUGGACCAAUGCCUCACACAAGAACCGCCUGCUUACUGCUGCUGAGCUUUAAGAGGAACCUUAAUUGCAACAAAGGGCACUAAUGACUGAAAGGAUAUUAUCCUAAGAUGGUUCCGCACCGACCCUCCGUCUUCUUCUAUUUUGAUGUGAUUUCCAGAGAGGACAUGUGAAUACCAGCUAAAGGCAGAGACACAGUGGACUGAUGCUGCCCUGAGAGAACCAAUGGAUCCUGCGAGCAGCAGGGGCCAAAAAACAAGAUGCAGAUGAGCUUUGUGUACAUCACCAGUGGCAGAUCAGCUAUCAUAUACACAUGGUCCCUUGGGGAAGAAAGGCAUAAUACCUUUAAGUGACAGACAAGUGUCAUAUCAACAUCAGACUGAAGGGAGGGAUAAACAUCUAUACAUCUAUUUUCAGGCAUCAUUUGAGAUGUGAAGUGCUGACGUCAGGUGGUCUUCGCUAAUACAUUCAGGCGUGCUGUUGUUUGAGUAGCCAGACAAACAUGCUCAUGCAAAGACCCCAACCUCAACCUUUUUGAUGAACUAGGCUGACCAGUUGCAGUCAGCCUGGGCUUGAACCACCAAUGCUAACUUGAGAGUGAAGAGGCGAGAGGCUGCAGCACCAAGGGGAGGCCAGAGGUGAAAGAGGGCGGAAGAGAAAUACAACGAAGACACGAAACGGCAAGGCACAGUGCUGCUGAUGCAGAGGCUUCUCUGUUUACACCUUGGACUUCACCUACUAUUGAGGACACAAAGGUCAUGCCCCUCUUCUUCCUUUGUGUGUGUGUGUGUGUGUGUGUGUGUUUUUGUGUGUUUGUGUGUGCUUACAUUUUACUUUACAUUUGCACACAAAGACGAACUUAGUUUAAAAGUGUGAUGGAUGGUAUUUUUCACGUUUUAAGGCAAAUCUUGGAGCAUAUGUACAGCUUCAAUACCAAAUAAUUGCAUCUUAAAAUUAUGCCGAUGUUUAAACUAGGACAACAACAAUCCAUCUGUAUCUAUAGGUAUACAGAUUUUGAAAUUUGAGGUAUCGGAAUCAGUGUCAAGAGAUGCUGCAUUCCUAGUUUAAACCUAUAAAGACAUCCGUAAUAGCUCACAAUAAACACAUACAGUAUGCAAAUUUGUUUUUGGCUUUGAGAUGGACUAGAUUUACUCUCGACUACAGUUCAACCUACGAUACUUUUGACCUGGUCUGGAAAUUUGAAUACACAUUUUUGCAAUUGACUUGGACUUGACUGAGGUCUUGACUCGUAAACAAGUGUGAACGUUAUUGUACACUUGAAUAAUAAAAAAGGUUUCUUUGCAUAUGUGAGCUGAUGUUAGGGAAUGCUGUUGGUCGUCAUAAAUUUAUUGGAACUGUCCGCUGCCUGUGUGUCCAGGCAAGAGGAAUACAGUCUCCCACAGUCUGCUCGGUCUAAAGGACGAACAGCAGGGUCCAUUUCUCAGAGAUGUGGGUGGCCGGCUGCUUGCUCACUCAUCAAUAUCAUGCAAGUAUGUUGCUGUGACCUGCCAUGCGUGUCCCCUCAGCUUAGAUCAAUAACACGAACAGAUUGCACACCCCCCUCUAAACCCCCAUCCACACCUCCACUCUCUGAGGGAUUCGUAUGUGCCUUUUCAACAUCAUUAUCAUAUAUCCCCUCUUUGAAAGGGCAGUGUCAGCUAGAUUGGAACACUACAGAAAUUCAAUUGACAGGAUAAGCUCUAUGAGAUACAACAGGAUAGAUAGUAGUUUAGUGUAACUGAUAAUGAACCAAUCACAUGAUACGUCUGAGUGGAUUUUCUUUUUCAAAAUCUUUUUUUUUCUAAUUUGUUCAUUUGAAAAGUUACCUGAUACUAUUGUGAUACAUUUAUGGGAUAAGACAGGCUCUUGUCUUACACGGCAACACUACAAAAACAGAAAAAAUAAAAGCAAAAACCAAGACACAGGAAGUCUAGGUGGAAAAGAGGACACGUGGGAUGAAGGGGGAAGAGAAAAGGGAGGAAGGAGAGGUGUUCACCUUGAGAGUGCUCAUCCAUUACAGGAAGGCUGAGGCUCACUCUGUCACACUGUCACAGUGAUGCCACCUCCACACCACCCAAAAGGUCACCUCACACUUCACUGCACUGCUUCAAACACAAAAUACACACCCACACACACCCCAUUUCUGCAUUUACAAAAACACAGGUGGACACACUCCCAUCUGUCGCCCUAUCACUGACAAGUGAUAGGGCCGCUGCCACACAGACACAAAUAAACACACAUACUGUAUGCAUACAGCUAGUGUAUGUGUGAAAGGAAGAUAAUGCACCACAAGUCACUUUUAAACAAAAACUGAUAAUGCCGUUUUGCAUGGGACUACUCUUUCUGUGGAUCUAGAGUGUGAAAAUGCAUUCAUAGUUUGCCCACAAAAACUUACCUACAUCCCUGUAGUUUUUUUUAUAGUGCUACCUUAUUUACUGUAAUCAAACCUAGUUGUGAAAGGUUUUGUGCUGUUUUGCAUUCAGCAUGUUUGUUGUUAGUAAAGCAGUCCCUCCAGAAAAACGUGAUUAUGCGAUCGCAUAAUUCAAUGCAUAAUCAGCCAAAGUCC